CAUGUUAUUAAGGGGUGAAAAGAAGUUCUUUGGCAACCAGACCAACAACAUGGCAUAAACUUUGGCUCUAUAGGGAUUGGCAUCAACAGGUGUGUGUAGAAUGGUGUUAGUAACCUUGAAGUGGAAUAGGGAAAUCAAAAGCAUACUUUGCAAGACGGUGAAUGCAAAUAGGACCAAUUGGUCAAAGAAGUUGGAUGAUGCACUUUGGGCUUACCAUACCGCUUACAAGACUCCAAUUAGCAUGUCUCCUUAUCGAUUGGUGUUUUGUAAAACAUGUCAUCGAUUGGAAUGAUGCCUCUCACUUGAGAAUGGAGCAAUCGAAUGAGUUGGAUUAAUUCAGACUUCAUGUUUAUAAAAGCUCUUCACUCUACAAGGCCUGCAUGAAACACUUCCACGACAAGAAAAUCUUGAAGAGUGAGUUUAGCCCCGGGGAUCGAGUCUUGUUGUUCAACUCAAGAUUCCGGUUGUUCCAGGGAAAGUUCAAAUCCAAGUGGUCGGGUCCUUUUGAAGUUACUCAAGUAUUUCCACAUGGUGCCAUCAAGAUUGUUUGCCCAAGCGGAAAUCAGAUAAAAGUGAAUAGGCAAUAAGUUAAGCAUUACUUGGGUUUGCCAAAUGAAGUGUAGAUAAUUGAGGUGAGCUACCUCAACGAACCAUAAAGAGGGUAAAAUAAUCAUGUCACGAUGUUAAAUCAAGCGCUUCUUGGGAGGCAACCCAAGUUUUACUUUUAUGUUUUGUAAUUUUUGAUUAUUUUUGUGUUGUUUUGAUGUUUGUUUGUGUGUUAGGACUCAAAAGGUUGAAAAACUUGGAAAAAGAUGGAGUAAGUUGAGCAGAAACUCAGGCUACAAAAUGUCCAUUUUACAGAUUGUCGAACUGACUGUAAAAUAUUUUACGGUCCAUAAAAUGGACAGUAAAUGGGGAAGUCAAGUUUGACUCACUAGAAAUUGCAAUGCCAAAAUUUACAGACCGUAAAAGUUUCUACGGUAUCUUUUACGAGCCGUAAUUUUUCCAUUAGCCACGUCAUCAGGUAAGUCACUUAAGGAACAGGCCAUAAAACCUGUUUACGAAGUGUGAAAUGUGCCGUAGAAGUUGGAAAUGGUUUAAAUACCUAAUCCAACUCCUACUCUUUCCCACUUCUUCAAAUUCAAAACGUACCCUCUCCCACUGUAACCGACGCGAUAUCCUCUCGCUUAACUCCCCAAUAUCACUAAUCAUCACUCUCUCACUACUAAACAUCAACACCCAUUCGUACACCAACAGUUGAAACACUUCUCUUCGGUUUUUCUCGCAAGCCAUCGUCAAAUUCUUCAAGUUUUGUCAACUAGCAGACCUUGGGGAGCCCGAGGCGUAGGUUGGGAUUAGCUUGAGUUUGGGCUAGCUUGGAGUGCGUACGAGGUACAGACGCACAGUUUGGUGAUCCACCAGUUUAGGACACCCUCUUUUGCUGUUUGGAGUGCUCCUAUCAUUCCGGAGCCUGCCUUUUGGUAUGUGUCCAAAGAAUCCAUUCAAAAGGGGAUCAUCCCAACCAAUAGGUAGAGGAAAAGGCAGGCCGAAAAUCGCAUCUAGACUUAGAGAUGUUCCCACUGACACCAAAGAGGAUGCGGUUGAGGUACCCUUGCAGCGAACUACUUGGCAACGAAAGGUUGCGCUGACUCAUGAUUCCUCCCAGUCUGAAGAGGUGGAAUCCUCUUCAUCUUCGGCCAGUGCUAGUAAUCAAGGCACUGAACAAGAGCAAGUUCAGCAAUCUGGUAGCCCUGACCAGUCAACAGGUAGUCCAUUGGAUGACUUCGAAACUCAGAGACGACAAGAGGUUCGUAUGAAAGAGAAAUCUGAUAAUGCCGUCCGGUUCUUGAUUGAAGGUUUGAAAGAAUUGUUUGAACAGGGUUUGGAGCUGGUGAAUGCAGGUGGGAAGCCAAGGAGACGCAUCUGGGAAGAGCAACAAAUAAGCUUUCAUAGUUUAGAGGUGUUUCCCACUAUCCGAGCCGUUUUGCAACACUAUAAAUGGGAAUUCCUUAAUGAUUAUUUGGGGGAGGGGGGGGGGGGAGGGUAUAUUCCAGUUCUGGUUCAUAAGUUUAUGCUUCUUAUGGGGCAACAAUGCAGAAGCUGCAGAACAAAUCUCAAAGGCAAAAGAAACUGAAGCGGUUGGACAUGGUAGUAGUGCGGGGGUAGACAUUGACAUAACACUAGAAGCCAUCAACUCAUUGUAUUAUGGGGCUAAUUAUAGGGCACCGACCAACUUGUAUGAGAUUAAUUACAAGCUUGCCAUUUGUACUAAUGAUAAGAUGUCUUAAAUGCCAUGGGUUGCCUCGGUAAUAGCUCGAAAGGAAGAUCCACAAAAGGGACCUCUCACUUGAGGCAAAAUUUUGGUGGACCAUCAUCACUAACCAUAUUCAUCCCACUCAAGCUGAUAACUCAAUCACCCCAUAUAGACAAAUUCUUGUGGCAGCCAUCAUGUCCAAAUAUAACAUCGAUGUAGGCCUCUUGAUUGUUGAGGAAAUUCGGUUGCGAGUAUUGCACCCUCAAACUUCAUUGAUUUUCCCAUGCCUCAUCACCCGAUUGUGCCAAAGGGUAAAGGUUCCUUGGCUGAAACUUUGGGAUCACUACAUCAAGGAAAUCCAUGUGUAUGACCUCAUGAAGAGCAAAGAUGAACAACUUAAGACUUCACAGCUGACCGAUGAUCCCAUAGACACUAAAGUGCUAGUUCAGCCUGGGUCACAAGUUGAGUUACUUCUUGACACCACCCCAGAGUUUACCAGUGGUACCAACAUUGAGGUACCACCUACCACCACUGGUUAUGCCACCGCUAAAGCACCAUUCACUGCUCAGGCCGAAGCCUCCUCAGCCGACCCCGCACCACCAGCAGUUCAGCCUACACCGGCAGCCCCAUUAUCUGGGCGAGUGAUCACACUCAAUGUUGAGACUUUCAGAGAAUAUGCAGCUAAGAUAGAUUGGGCUAAUCAACAGAUAGACAGGGUGGUGGCCCAAAUGUAGUCAUUUGUAGAUAGGGCGAUCAAACAUGCUUUGAAGCCAUUAUAGGAGUCCAUUGAGAAAUCACACCAACAACUUCACUCGAGAAUUGAUGGGUUCGAGACAAGAUUUGUUGAGUUGACACGAGGAACUCCCACCACUGAUGUGGGGAAGUUUCGAGAGGAGUUGGAGAAAUUGAAGGCCGAUAUGUUGGCAUUGCAGGUGAGGGAUAUGGGUGCUUUGGGAAGCAUGAUUUUUAUACCGGUGGUGGAGUUGGAGUUGCCACGCAUUGUGGAUUUGUUAGAAGACUUUCCGUCAUCACCGGAGGAUAAAGGAAAGAGGAAGACCUGGAGGAUGAUGAGGUGGAUGAGGAUGCACUACUACAAAACUGGCAAAAUUCGACGGACAAAAAACCGACGGACUGUGUCACUUUGAAAAACCGAUGGAAAACCGACUCCGUGCGUCGGUUUUGUGUAUUUCUAAUGUUUUUUUUAUUUUUUUAAUUAAAAAACCGACGGACAACGUCGGUUUUUUCCG